GCCGACGUAGCUCAACUGGCAGAGCACUCGCCUUGUAAGCGAGUGGUUAGGGGUUCGAGUCCCCUCGUCGGCUCCA
rnacentral:tRNA from 2 species